GUAUAUUUCACUUUGGUAGUACAUACACAAAAAUUGGAAUAAUACAGAGGUCAGCAUGGCUCCUUGGCAAGGAUGACAUGCAGAUUCAUGAAGAGUGACUAAAUUUU
ensembl:snRNA U6 U6 spliceosomal RNA